AUUGGCUGUCCCAUUGACCAGUCACUCUUCAUGGACACACAGCUGGGUUCUGGUAUAAAUGUUCUUCUGUAGCACCACAGCCCUCCAGCUCAGUAUACUACAGUCUAUCCAAAGUGUAGGAUCUGAAGUGAACAGGCAAGGAAAGCAAAGAAGCCAUAAAGCUAGGAAUCCUGCUUCCAGACUUUGCAGACCCAAGUUAAUUACCACUUGUUUACUGAUUGCUGGAUUUCAACUGCCCGGUGAACAAUCAGCAACUGAUAGGACAUCCCUGACCAGAGGAUGAACCCUCUUAGCCAAGAGGAACCUCUGUCAAACUUGUUGAUCUAGAUCGCUGGCCAAGACCAGAUGGCUCACCCAACA